rnacentral:rRNA from 1 species
GAGUUUGAUCGUGGCUCAGGAUGAACGCUGGCGGCGUGCUUAACACAUGCAAGUCGAACGAGAGAAGAUUGGUGCUUGCACUGAUCCGAUCGAGUGGCGGACGGGUGAGUAACGCGUGGGUAACCUGCCUCAUACAGGGGAAUAACAGUUGGAAACGGCUGCUAAAACCGCAUAAGCGCACGGUAUCGCAUGAUACAGUGUGAAAAACUCCGGUGGUAUGAGAUGGACCCCGCGUCUGAUUAGCUAGUUGGUGAGGUAACGGCCCACCAAGGCAACGAUCAGUAGCCGGCCUGAGAGGGUGAACGGCCACAUUGGGACUGAGACACGGCCCAAACUCCUACGGGA